ACAUUUUCUGGGAAAUGUGGAACUGAUUUUGGGUUUGGUGGUGUAAUAGGAAGAAGGUCUGAGAGAGAACUUCAAUACUUUCCACGGCAAUUUCCAGGGCAAUGAUGAUCCAAAAUGUUCGCAGGGUUCAGAUGAUGAGAAAGGUGAUGAGAGUGGUCAUGCAACCGGGAGUCAGAAUGAGAACCCCAGUGUCAAUCCCAAAUCUUCAGGAAACUCGAAAAAUGCAAAGUUCUCUCGACAUUUAAUUAUUCGCAUUCAGAAGACUGCUUUUAAGGACAACUCACAUGU